AAGAGAGAGCCCGCAAGCUCCCUAAACCCACUGCGAAUGUACCUGUACUGUUGCUUCAGCAGGCGGCCCCGUCGGGGGGGGCCCUGGCCCAGGCGGGUGCCUGCCGGGAGCGUGGCGAAGACUCUUGCUGUUACAGUGUAUUCUGAGUCCUACAAGCAAACUAUACA
rnacentral:misc_RNA from 1 species